GUAGUCCACGCCGUAAACGAUGGGCACUAGGUGCUUGGGGGAGCGACCCCCUGAGUGCCGACGCUAACGCAUUAAGUGCCCCGCCUGGGGAGUACGACCGCAAGGUUGAAACUCAAAGGAAUUGACGGGGGCCCGCACAAGCGGUGGAGCAUGUGGUUUAAUUCGACGCAACGCGAAGAACCUUACCUAGGCUUGACAUGGCCGUGAACUCGGUGGGAAACCGCCGGGGUCCUUCGGGACGCGGUCACAGGUGCUGCAUGGCUGUCGUCAGCUCGUGUCGUGAGAUGUUGGGUUAAGUCCCGCAACGAGCGCAACCCUCGUCGCUAGUUACCAGCGCGUCAUGGCGGGGACUCUAGCGAGACUGCCGGUGCCAAACCGGA
rnacentral:rRNA from 1 species